UGUGAUGAUUUGAGAUAUUUUGUAUUUGUUUUUUAGGUUAAUCAUUGAGCAUCAGAUAUAGACUCAUACACCAUGCCUCCUAAAUAUGAGUCUGGUGCUCAAAAGAGAAAAAGGAAACGAACUGAGAUUUCAUUAAUUCAAAGUCAAGCAGAGGAUAUUGGCAAGUACUUUAAAAGCAACAAUAUGAAUACGUUGAAUGAGGAUGAAGUAGAGAUUCAACCUGCAUGUGUUAAUGAAGUAGAUGAUAAGGAUAAAGAAGUGAGUCAACCUGCCUAUGUUGUAGUAGAUGAUAAGGAAGAAGAGGUGAUGAAACAUACAUGUAUUAAUGAAGUAGAUGACAAGGAAGAAGAGGGAUGCUCUUCUCUAAAUUUGGAUGAUCCCGGGAAUUGGAAAAUUAUUGAUCAGAGAACAAGGGAUUACUUGGUUGAAAGGGGUCCAAAAAGAGUUGAUGAUAUCUCGUUUCCGAAAGAUUGUACAAAUAGGCAUUUUGAUUCUUCACAAUAUAAGCGAUUGCUACGAAAUGGGCAAACAAUUGAUAGAAGAUGGCUAGUCUAUUCAAUAUCUAUGGACAGGAUCUUUUGCUUUUGUUGUAAGUUGUUUAAAACAGC
rnacentral:lncRNA from 1 species